rnacentral:rRNA from 1 species
CAAGCGUUAAUCGGAAUCACUGGGCGUAAAGCGCAUGUAGGCGGACAUUUAAGUCAGGGGUGAAAUCCCGGGGCUCAACCUCGGAACUGCGUUCGAAACUGGGAGGCUUGAGUCCUGGAGAGGGUGGCGGAAUUCCGGGUGUAGGAGUGAAAUCCGUAGAUAUCCGGAGGAACACCGGUGGCGAAGGCGGCCACCUGGACAGGUACUGACGCUGAGGCGACGAAAGCGUGGGGAGC